rnacentral:rRNA from 1 species
UACGAAGGGGGCUAGCGUUGCUCGGAAUCACUGGGCGUAAAGGGUGCGUAGGCGGGUCUUUAAGUCAGGGGCGAAAAUCCUGGAGCUCAACUCCAGAACUGCCUUUGAUACUGAAGAUCUUGAGUUCGGGAGAGGUGAGUGGAACUGCGAGUGUAGAGGUGAAAUUCGUAGAUAUUCGCAAGAACACCAGUGGCGAAGGCGGCUCACUGGCCCGAUACUGACGCUGAGGCACGAAAGCGUGGGGAGCAAACAGG